UUUGCACACCCCUCCCCCUUUCCGGUAAUGGCGUCAGCCUUCAACAGCACCUGUAUUUACAAAUUUAAGUCGUAACCACCAUAAUUUCUUCGUAACUAUCCUAUUCUUUGAGGUAUUCAACAAUGAACAUCCAAAAACAGUUUGACCUAAUCCGCGGUGUGGUUUACUGUAUUUUUGAGUCGGGAAUUGUGUUGCGCUGCGGAAUGGCUUUGAUGUGAUACCGGAAAAUGCAGCAUCAAAGUCGAGCUUUUUUCACAUGGCUGAAUUUCUCAGGAGGAUUUUCCGGUGGAACACGGAAUCGUUUACACUACCCGUUGAAGAAAAAGAAAUACUCGAUGUCAGGUAGGUACACAGAGGGCAAAGUAUGACAAUCCAAAAUCAGCACACUCAUUUUCUGAAUAAAUAUCUAUCUGCGGCCAUUUAAAA